rnacentral:rRNA from 1 species
AGUGAACGCUGGCGGUAGGCCUAACACAUGCAAGUCGAACGGCAGCACAGUAAGAGCUUGCUCUUACGGGUGGCGAGUGGCGGACGGGUGAGGAAUACAUCGGAAUCUACUUUUUCGUGGGGGAUAACGUAGGGAAACUUACGCUAAUACCGCAUACGACCUACGGGUGAAAGCAGGGGAUCUUCGGACCUUGCGCGAUUGAAUGAGCCGAUGUCGGAUUAGCUAGUUGGCGGGGUAAAGGCCCACCAAGGCGACGAUCCGUAGCUGGUCUGAGAGGAUGACCAGCCACCCGGGAACUGAGACCCGUCCCAGCUCCCUACGGGAGGAAGCAGUGGGAAAUAUGGACAAUGGGCGCAAGCCUGAUCCAGCCAUACCGCGUGGGUGAAGAAGGCCUUCGGGUUGUAAAGCCCUUUUGUUGGGAAAGAAAAGCAGCAGGUUAAUACCCCGCUGUUCUGACGGUACCCAAAGAAUAAGCACCGGCUAACUUCGUG